ensembl:lncRNA
CUGGAUUUUGCUGAAAAAAUACAUAUAGUAGAUAACUUUUAGAGAUCCUGAGUUUUCAAAAAAGUCUUAGUCUGUUCUCCCAUGUGAUUAGUAUUUUGACAGAGUAUUGAAUUCUAGAUUAGCCUUUAUUUUCCUUCAGAGUUUUGCAGGCUUUUCUUAAUUUUUUCUAGCUUGUAGGGUUACAAUCAAUACUUCUGAUGUUAUUCUAUUCUUGACCUAUUGUAUGUGAUCAAAUUUUCUCUUAGAAACAUUUAGGAUAUUCUCUUCAUCUUUUCAGUUUUAGAAUGCAUGAUGAUGUGCCUUGUUGGGGUUCUUUUCUCAAUAAUUUUGCUGGGAACCAGGUGGCUGUCCUUGCUGGGGCCCUACUGGGUCAUAUGGUUCAUAGCAUUUUUGGUAAUUUUUGCUGUUAUUGCUUGAGCCCUUGUUUCCACAUCGUUCCAAAUGGCAUAUUUGGAACCUCAUCAAUUUUUACUCAAGACUUGUAAGUCUGAAUUGUCCCUCAGGUGGCCCUCUUUAUCCAUAGUUAGGGCAGGCCGCUCACUUUGGGGUCAUGUCUCAGAGCUGGCAAAUGUUUUCUGUCUCCAGGAAAGCCUGGGCCAGUUCUUCCGUGGUUCCUGGUUUUUUGCAAGGAAUCCAUACACACGGUCUGUAGACCCACUGAUAUUAUCAUUCUCAUCCUUAAGAUGUAUGACCACUUCUAGUAUCCUUCUGGAUUCCCAUGGUUUCAACUCCUGCUUCUUGAUAAGCCUGUACAUCUCUGAGUUUCCUUUUCACGUCUGACCUUCAGAGACCCCCUCUCCUUUUGCUUUUGAUCUCAGAUAUUUAUUUAAAAAUUUAAAAGUAUAUGUUAUCUAAUAUUUCGAUGUGUGUGUGUACUGUUCCCAUACAUCUUCCCACGCAUCCUCAGAGUACUAUCAUAACAGGAUAUCAGUAAAAAUUCAAAUAGAUCAUAAAAUAGAUCAGUCUCUUUUCACUAUUUCUUUCCUUUCCUUAAACACAACUAUUGUUGAAACUUUCUCCCAGUGAAAUUAAAAGCCAGUCUGGAGGACACAUUGGCCAAAUGUCUAGUUAACUCACAGCACGGAUGCGAAUGCUGCAUACGCAUGUGUGCAUGUGUAUUGGAGGUGAAUGACCAGCAGUAUCUCAGGAUUAUCACCCCUUCUUUUAGCCAGGUUCAAG